rnacentral:lncRNA from 11 species
GGAAACUGGAUGGGACAGAAGUCUUGACAAUUUUGUCCAGUGCUCCACGCUUUUCUAAACUCAGAGCACUUCAAAAUGCCACAAAAGCUGUUGAAAACAUAAAAACUGAGAAGAUGACUGUUAAAGAGCUGGAGAAAACUCUGCAGAGUAUGGGAGUGCACUUACCUAAUA